AGCGGACUCUGCUGAGCUCCCCUCAGUGCCCAGCUCUGAUGAGGGAGCUGAGGCUCCUGCCAGUUUAUGGGCUGGGAGAGGAGGUGGGGCUGAUGGCACCGCCAGUAGAAAACUUACCUGUGUCCACCCACCCCACAGAAGUGAGGGAGAAAGA